UGGGGAUAUUGCGCAAUGGGGGCAACCCUGACGCAGCAACGCCGCGUGAAGGAUGAAGGUCUUCGGAUUGUAAACUUCUUUUAUUAAGGACGAACAAAUGACGGUACUUAAUGAAUAAGCUCCGGCUAACUACGUGCCAGCAGCCGCGGUAAUACGUAGGGAGCAAGCGUUGUCCGGAUUUACUGGGUGUAAAGGGUGCGUAGGCGGCUUUGCAAGUCAGAUGUGAAAUCUAUGGGCUCAACCCAUAGCCUGCAUUUGAAACUGCAUGGCUUGAGUGAAGUAGAGGCAGGCGGAAUUCCCCGUGUAGCGGUGAAAUGCGUAGAGAUGGGGAGGAACACCAGUGGCGAAGGCGGCCUGCUGGGCUUUAACUGACGCUGAGGCACGAAAGCGUGGGUAGCAAACAGGAUUAGAUACCCUGGUAGU
rnacentral:rRNA from 1 species